rnacentral:ncRNA from 1 species
CAGGGGGGGUCAACCCCUGCACGGGGUCGCGCCUGGCGCGCCACAGUAAUUAUAAGACCCGUCUUGAAACACGGACCAAGGAGAUUACCAGAUGACAGUAUUAAAGAAUCAUAGGUGAUUUGUCAUCUGGUAAGACCCGAAACAUAGUGAACUAUAUAUGUCAAUGGUUGAAGAUAAACGACCGUUUAUUGGAAGACCUAAGUCAUUCUGACGUGCAAAUCGAUGGUGAAA